CCGGCCGGGCUCAAAUACAGGCUGGAGUCUCCGACUCUUAGUUCAGGAAGAGGGCUCGUGGGCGGUAACGAGACUUUCUCAAGGGAUUCUGUGGUAGAAUCUCUUUCUUUGAGAAAGCUGAAGCGAUCAACACCCUGAUUAACCUCUGAUAUUCACGUGGUGCUCUUGAUCUUGAGGACUGCAGCAAUAACAAAGCGGUUUGGUGUGGAGAUUACUGGUGAAGAGUUUGAGUUGUUACUUGACAGAAUCCCCCUUGAUGAAGAUGGAAAUGUCAGAUACCUCCAGUUCACGGCCACGUUUGAUUCUCGGGGAGGGUUAUCCAGUCUUUUUGAUGAGAAAUCUCUCCAGUGGAUGUCUCUGCGCUUUGUAAAGAGCAGUUUAUGAGAAGCCAGAAGAGUCUACACUCCCAGAAAGAAAGACCACAGCGGAGACCUCAGGAACAGCAGAACUUCUACGGACACAUCACGCGCUACGUCUUCACAGCAAUUGUUGCUCUUGCUUGCUUUAGGAAGUUACAAAAACACUUCAAACUCACAGACUAAUAAGAGAAUGCUAGAGCAAACACUCGUUGCCCUACUCCCCAGACUCAACAGAUGUUAACAUUCUGCCCUAUUUGCUUCAGCUCUUUGAUCACAUUUUCAGAUGUGACCAACACCGCCUUUGUCUCUCCCCCUGAUCACACCCCUGCUGUGUCUCCCCAAGGUGAUUCUGAAGAUAACUGUAGAUUUCAAGGAAACUUUGCUUCAUUCUCUUUGUCUCCAUAAUGUGCCUGGUAGAAUCAAAGUAUCGGCCCGGUGUUGUACAGAUAUGGGCCACGUGUAUGAGCGCUCACACACGUGCACACGGAGCAGAGGGUGAAGAACGUUCACGAAAAGGUUAACAGUUGGUGUUUGACCGAAUUUGGGAUGUUUCUUCUUUGCACUUUUAUGAAUUGUCACAUGUUCUUAUUGAUUGUAUGCUUAAGUGAUGAUAAAGUAAUAAGAAAUAAAUAAUGAUAAAAAUGUUAUGAAAUAAUAACACCUUUUAUCAUUUUCAAGUAUCACAUUGUAAGGAAAAGUAUGCCAAGGCUCUUUCUAACUCCUCUGAGACUACCGGAAGCCUACCUGUAGCUACUCUUCAUGGCAGCUUCCUCUGCCAGAGGGUGUAAAUCAGUAAGAAAACAAUCAGGCAUUGAUGCUUAAAGGGGUAUCAGAUUAGCUCCCAGGAGAUGAACAUCAUCAUCACCAUUUUUUUUUUUUUAAGUAGGCUUCAUGCCCAGUGUGGAAGCCCAACGUGGGGCUUGAACUCACGACCCCUCGAUCAAGACCUGAGCUGAGAUCAACAGUCUUAACCAGCUGAGCCACCCAGGUGCCCCAGAUGAACAUCAUUACCGAGAUUGUAUAUAUCAGCAAAUGGGAUGAGUCACUAAACCUGCAUCUGGUGAUAAAUAUCCAGACAUUUUUAAGAAUAGGGCUGGGG